GGCCCGCCUGAUACCCAGCAACAGAGGGCAAGGGCGGCAGCACCUCCAGCAUGGCAGUCCCUUCCAAGCACGUCAGGAUGCGCCCUUGCCUGUGCUGGCAGCUUCCUAAACAUGGGGACUGGGCAUGGUGGCAGGUUUUUGUCCUUCUGAAAGAGCAAUUUUGCUGUGGGGUUACUUGCUCCUUGAGUUCUUGUCUGAGGCCCACCUGGCGGCUGCUCCGUGAGGAACGAGGCAGCCCUGCUGCAGCUGAGCAUCCCGCCACGCUCCCAGGAGCGUGUUUUUUCCUGGGGGGAGCAGCCCGGGACCGUGGCUCUGUGGUCCAUUGUGUGGAUGUCCACAAGGCCUGGGCGUUCUGUGGGUUUGGGUGGCAGUCCCAUCUGGGCAGCUCCUGCUGGGCUGGGCGUGGGUCUCCUGCUGGUCUGCCCCCAGCUGCACAACGUGUCUUGUGCCUUGCCCUCUUGUGUCUCUGCAGGUUUUGGCUAUGGGCCUCCACCUCCACCGCCAGAUCAGUUUGCCCCUCCGGGGGUUCCUCCUCCACCGGCCACUCCCGGGGCAGCACCUCUGGCUUUCCCACCGCCUCCGUCUCAGGCCGCCCCGGACAUGAGCAAGCCCCCAACAGCUCAGCCAGACUUCCCCUAUGGUCAGUAUGGUAAGUGGUCUCCUGCCAUGCCGCAUCCCCGCUGGCCCCAGGACCCUGGGCACGGCCUGACUACUUCUGCUUCCUCCCCUGCUGGAUGCCCCCCAGCGUUUACCUGGUGGGAAAGGGGAGAGGGAGGAGAGGGGGGUGCGGGGGUUGUUGGAGAGACCUCGUGGCAACUCGAGCCCGGCAGAAGGGAGUGUGGGAGUCUUGUCGCAGCAGAGCAUUCGUCGCACAGCAGGUGUUGCAGGGCCUGCAUGUGUGGGAACCUGAGUGGCGACUGGGUCGAGGGAAGUGAGUCCCAGGCGGCUGUGAUCACUGUCUCAAGGUUGAGGCCCUUGGUGUGGGUCCCGGGUGCACUGGCCCCUUGGUGGGUUCCAGUUUCUGGCGUCAUCAGCUUCCCGCUGGGUCCAGACCCCGCUUGGGGCAGAAGCUGGGUCCUGUAGCAGGCGUGGCCUGGAUGUGGGCUUCUCCCUGGACCGGAUGGCUGUCGUGCCUUGGGUCUGCCUGGACGUGAUCUGCAGGCAGCGCAUGUGCUUCCCGGGCAGGAGCUUGUGGGGGGCGGGGUCAGCAUGGGUCAAGGUCUGCGUGUCUAGUUCUCGCCCUGCACCGAGCCGGGAGUCACAGCAGCCUUGCUCAGGACCAACGCAGUGGUCUCAGUGGGCAGGGCUCCAACCACGGUCAGCGACUCCAGCACCAGGGGUCAUUCACAAGCAGGGUUUGAGAACAUGGGGCACCUGUCUCCAGGUGGCCAUGGGCUUCUGGGGUGCCUGUGAACACGCUUCCUUUAGGCCUGGUGGAGGCCGGGGCGUGGGAGCUGUGUUUGGCCGAGGUGCCCGCCCACCCACCUCGCAUGGCUCUGGUUCCCCUGCCCCCACGCCCAGGCCUUGGGCCGAGGUUGCCGCAUGUGUGGGUUCUUGACCCACUCACCACCAAACCCUGGCGUGUCUGCGACUGGCAGGGGGGCGUGAGGCGCCCAGUUGGGGCGUGGCGUGUGUCAGCCGCUGCUCUUGGUGGUGGCUGCUUGGGUUGGUCACCCCGGUCUCGUCUCUUGCCAGGCCUGGGUUCCUAUUCUCCGGCCCCGCCGGGCUGCGGCCCACACUUUGUUUACAGUCUUAUGGUCAGGCUGAGCAGUGAUGUGGCCUAGGUAGGUGCCGCCUCCUUCUCCAGGGUCCUCCCACCCGCCUGCACCGGGAGGUGGACGUGGCUUCCUCUGCCGUCCCGGGCGGGGGUGGACGCUGGCGGUGCCCUCUGGGAAGGGGCCCUUGCCGGUGCCAAGACAUUGGCCACAAGCCUUCAGCGGGCCCAGGAUCCCCCAGAGAGAGCCCACGCCCACCUGUGCCCACGUGCACCCGACUGGGAACCCAGAGGUCGUGGGAGGGGCUUCCUGCAAGGUGUGCAGCGGGGUGGGGAGCAGCCUGAGCAGCUCUGUCCUUGUGAAGACACCGCUGUCCACGCUCCUGAGGUCGGCUGUGUGGGCCGGACAGGCUGCAGGGUGUGCUGGCCCCUCAGCCAGUGGUGUCACUGGGGCAGUCAGGUUGGGCCCAGAAACCCUUCCUUGACGCGUGCCACCGAUGGACGUGCCCUGACAGGAAGGACAACGUGGGGUCUGGUCUGCGAUGGAAGGGCAGGCCCUGUAUCUCUGCAAGGGCCCGUCAGGGGUUUUCUGAAACUCCGAGAGCCAGCUUUCUAGAAGACCCGUCCGCUGUGCCUCGGGCCAUGUGUGUCUCCAAGCCCCGAGGCUUCUCCACCUCCCCUCACCUCCCCACCCCCAACCACGUCUUCGGGAUUGAACAGGGAAGCGGUGAGGUUAUGUGGGCCAUGGAGGGCUCUAGAAGCCGCUUUUCUCUGUGUGUGCCCCUGCUCACAUGUUUUUGAGGGAGAGAACAUGCCCGGGGUCCUCUCCCUGGCCCAGGUGCUGGCCUCAGAAGGGCCCCACCCCCACCCUGUGGGGCCUGUGGAUUCAAGGCAGGCUCAGCGGAACUGUGUCCAGGUGGCCUCGCUCGAUGGUAGUGCCAACCGCCCGGGGACCUCCCUGAGCUCACAGGACUCUCUCCCCCAGCAGGUUACGGGCAGGACUUGAGUGGCUUUGGACAGGGCUUCUCGGACCCCAGCCAGCAGCCUCCUUCCUACGGGGGUCCCUCCGUGCCAGGGUCGGGGGGCCCCCCCGCCGGUGGCAGCGGCUUUGGACGAGGGCAGAACCACAACGUGCAAGGGUUCCACCCCUACCGACGCUAGCCCGCGGCGCCGCGAUGUCUGCACGGCCCAGACCCAGGAUUCCAAACUUGUGAACUCGUGACAAUCACAAAUGUGGCGGCAAAGUAGCGACUCAACCUUGGGGGGGCGGGGGGAGGGCGUGAGGCUUUUGGAGCGGCUGUGGGUGUCGUCUGGACUGAGGUUUUUAAAUAUUUCUUUCUCUAACCCAUCAGCACAAUAAAAAAAAGUCACUGGUUCAACAACAGGGUUUAAAAAAAAUGUCUUCAGCUUUAAUUCAAAACUUCAGGUUUCUUUUUCUUCCUUUUUUUUGGAAAUUAUUUUCCUGAGCCUUUUGUUUUACGGUAUAUUGUAAACUUUUAUGUUAAAGAAAAAAUAUACAUUUACAAAUUGUGAGAUUUUUAAGAGAAAUUUUCUACGAUGUAUACUGGCUUAUUUUUUAAUUUAAAACAGGGUUUCCGUCGGCACUGGUGGAGGGGGGUGCGCUGUUAGUCCCCUCGCUCCUGGCUUUGGGGGUUGGGACUUGGUAGUCCAGAAACUCUGGGAGCUUCAAGAAGAAAUCUACUGAGUGUGUUUCUGUUUUUUGUUUAAUUCCUUGCUUUUGUCGACUGACCUGCUUGGUAGUGUCUGAGGUGAACUGUGGGGGUUGCGCACAGCCAGCCGCGUGGAUCCCACGCAGCGCUGAACCGAACCGAGUAGGAAGCCUUUCUCCCCAGGCACGUGGCUUCAGGGCGUUUCCCAUUGACCAGUUUGACCCUGGUUUGAAUAAAGAGAAGUGCGUUUGGAUUAGAAA
rnacentral:sRNA from 1 species